rnacentral:rRNA from 1 species
GCUGCUUACCAUGCAAGUCGAACGAUGAUCCGGUGCUUGCGCCGGGGAUUAGUGGCGAACGGGUCAGUAACACGUGAGUAACCUGCCCUUGACUCUGGGAUAAGCCUGGGAAACUGGGUCUAAUACCGGAUAUGACUCCUCAUCGCAUGGUGGGGGGUGGAAAGCUUUUUGUGGUUUUGGAUGGACUCGCGGCCUAUCAGCUUGUUGGUGGGGUAAUGGCCUACCAAGGCGACGACGGGUAGCCGGCCUGAGAGGGUGACCGGCCACACUGGGACUGAGACACGGCCCAGACUCCUACGGGAGGCAGCAGUGGGGAAUAUUGCACAAUGGGCGAAAGCCUGAUGCAGCGACGCCGCGUGAGGGAUGACGGCCUUCGGGUUGUAAACCUCUUUCAGUAGGGAAGAAGCCCUCUUUGGGGGUGACGGUACUUGCAGAAGAAGCGCCGGCUAACUACGUGCCAGCAGCCGCGGUAAUACGUAGGGCGCAAGCGUUAUCCGGAAUUAUUGGGCGUAAAGAGCUCGUAGGCGGUUUGUCGCGUCUGCUGUGAAAGACCGGGGCUCAACUCCGGUUCUGCAGUGGGUACGGGCAGACUAGAGUGCAGUAGGGGAGACUGGAAUUCCUGGUGUAGCGGUGAAAUGCGCAGAUAUCAGGAGGAACACCGAUGGCGAAGGCAGGUCUCUGGGCUGUAACUGACGCUGAGGAGCGAAAGCAUGGGGAGCGAACAGGAUUAGAUACCCUGGUAGU